CAGGAUGAACGCUAGCGGCAGGCUAACACAUGCAAGUCGAGGGCAGCGCGAGGUAGCAAUACCUUGGCGGCGACCGGCGGAAGGGUGCGUAACGCGUGAGCAACAUGCCCGUAUGAGGGGGAUAAGCGAUGGAAACGUCGUCUAAUACCCCCGUAACACAGGAGAUCGCAUGAUCACCUGUUGAAAGAUUUAUCGCAUACGGAUUGGCUCGCGUGACAUUAGCUAGUCGGCGGGUAACGGCCCACCGAGGCGACGAUGUCUAGGGGUUCUGAGAGGAAGGUCCCCCACACUGGAACUGAGACACGGUCCAGACUCCUACGGGAGGCAGCAGUGAGGAAUAUUGGUCAAUGGGCGGAAGCCUGAACCAGCCAUGCCGCGUGAAAGGAAUAAGGCCCUAUGGGUCGUAAACUUCUUUUGACGGGGAGCAAUAAGGGUCACGUGUGGCCCGAUGAGAGUACUCGUCGAAUAAGCAUCGGCUAACUCCGUGCCAGCAGCAGC
rnacentral:rRNA from 1 species